rnacentral:lncRNA from 1 species
AUGCCUUUAAAACAGCUUCAGGGCUGCUCAGCCUCCAAACCUUGCACCAAGCAGAUUUUGGGGACGUUCUGCAAGCAAGGCAACGAGGCAAACCCAGACUCAGAGGUAAAAUCUCUCCGGUUUGGGGGCCGAGCUCUGCCCUGCCGCGCUCCCUUGGCCGAGCCCCUCAUCGCUCCCGAGCACGAGCAGGGCGAGCGCCCCGGGCAGCGAGGCUGCUGCUUUGCUGCUCUCCUACCCACCACAAACCUUACCUUGGGCUUUAUACGGCUGCUGGGAGCGGGAGGGGAACUGCCUGCCACCGAACCGAGCACCAAAAACCCCGACAUUCCUGAGCCAACCGCCCAUCUCUGGGCUCUCUCAAAAAAAAAAUCCCUUUGCUUCGGCUGCGUUUCCAGCUUGGCAAACAGCACCGCGUUCACUGGGCUGGAUUUCCACCCAGUCGCACCGCUAGGAAGGAAGGAAACAGAACCAAAAAAUAAUAAUAAUAAAAAAAAAAAAGAGCUGGGAAUAUUUUUUGUUUGCUUAAAAAAUACCUUCAGUAAAAAGAACCAGGGCUUUUUUUCUUUUCUUUUUUUUUCUUUUCUUUUCUUUUUUUUUUUCUUUUUGUUUUUUGAAAAGGGAGGGGAUGAACGUGGAGCCCUGGGGUGUUGGAUGGGGCUGGCAGAGGGGGCAGCUCCGGGACACCCCCUCCCCGCUCUCCGAGGGCAUCCUUGGGGCCAAAUCCCUACCGCUGGGGUCCUUCUGGAGGCUGAGCCCCUCGGGCUGCCUCCCUCUGCCCCCCCAGAGCAGCUCUCCCCCAGCAGGACGUGGGAUUUUGUCCUCUCCUGUCCCAUUUUCCAGCCCCCUGAUGUCCCCCGGACCUUUUUGGGGACCCAAAGGGGCUGCAGGACUGCUCCCCCCCCCCCGUCGGCCACUUCAAACAGACGGAGCGAGGUAAACCUGACAAGUUUUUAUAUGUACACAGACGUCUGUCAAACCCCCCUCCCGCCCCUCCAGACCAACCCCCCCCGCCCUCCUCGUAAAAGCCAACGAAAAAAAAAAAAGCAUUUAAAAUAA